UUUCCAUGAGAUAAUUACCACAUAAAUUAUGAAUUAUGGUUUAAAUAAAUUAGAUUAAACUUGCCUAUAUAUAUAUAUAUACUUACACAUGAGUGGGAUUGAGAAUGGUAAAUGGAAAACUUCAUUUCAUCUGCUUCCACCGUCGAAGGGGGAAAGAACAUAGAAUUUUCAAGUUUAAGCUCUCGAUUGCCGUACAUCAACUACCAAGAUCAAGAACAAGUAGAAAGUCGAAGAGAAGAGAAAAUUACCAAAUAUCCCAUGUACUUAGUCAAUGCAGCAAUUUAGCCUGAUUCUCCACAAUUCGUGUGAGCAACAUCAUGUAGCUUGCAUUUCGACUCACUACUCAUGUGAGUAGGCCCACUUCACAGCUCGUGUGAGCAUUCAUGUAAAGAAAAGAUUACGAUUUUAUGUAAAGGCACACUUCAUGUGAGCUUCCCCGAGUAUCCGAUGUAAUUCUAGAUGAUUCAACGAAUAAGGAAAAGAAUGGAACAAAGCUCGAUUGGUUGGAAGUUCAUCGGAGAUCUAUCACACUAUCCAGUAAUUAAAUUGGUAGUUUUUGAGCAAUUUGGUUAAGGUUUAUAAUGGCAUGUAUAGGAUGAUUUUAACUGGAUUAUGGUGUAUGUGUUAAUGAUGUUUUGGUAUGUGUAAGCUUUGGUAAGCUAUGUUGGUUUGGUUCACCUUGAUGCCUUAUCAAGUUAUGUGAUUUUGGUUACUUUAAAGUGCUUGUUGGUAUUGUCCUCUUGGCAUGUUGAUGAUAGUUUGAAAAUGGUUACUUGUGACAUGUUUUAGUUCAUAUUUUAACUAGGUUAUUAUGUUUGGAAAUGGCAAAUUAACAUGUAUAAGGUGGUU